CUUAGGGGGGGCGUUGGUUAGAGAGGUGGCAAGUCGAGCGAACUGGAUUAGAAGCUUGCUUCUAUGGACGUUAGCGGCGGACGGGUGAGUAACACGUGGGCAACCUGCCUGUAAGACUGGGAUAACUUCGGGAAACCGAAGCUAAUACCGGAUAGGAUCUUCUCCUUCAUGGGAGAUGAUUGAAAGAUGGUUUCGGCUAUCACUUACAGAUGGGCCCGCGGUGCAUUAGCUAGUUGGUGAGGUAACGGCUCACCAAGGCCACGAUGCAUAGCCGACCUGAGAGGGUGAUCGGCCACACUGGGACUGAGACACGGCCCAGACUCCUACGGGAGGCAGCAGUAGGGAAUCUUCCGCAAUGGACGAAAGUCUGACGGAGCAACGCCGCGUGAGUGAUGAAGGCUUUCGGGUCGUAAAACUCUGUUGUUAGGGAAGAACAAGUACGAGAGUAACUGCUCGUACCUUGACGGUACCUAACCAGAAAGCCACGGCUAACUACGUGGCAGCAGCCGCGGUAAUACGUAGGUGGCAAGCGUUAUCGGAAUUAUUGGGCGUAAAGCGCGCGCA
rnacentral:rRNA from 1 species